GCAUUCACUUUCAGAGCCUCCGGGUAGCGCGGAUCCGCUGCGAUCUCAGUCAACCAAGAGACGCCGUCUCGCGUGGAUCAACAGGUGUUCUUGCUCGUGCAAAAAGCGAUCAUCAGCAUGGGGACCGCGCACGUUUGCAGUAUAGUGGCCGUGCUCGUCGUCCUCCUCGUCACAGCGGAAGCGGGCGACAUGAUGCGUAAGAGCAUCGUCUUCGACAAAAACACCCCAGACGUGUUCUACUGCCCGCAGCAGAAGCCAACGGGUUUCAAGAAGAUGAUCGUGAACGCGAAACCGUUAUCCAAGCUGUGCCAAUUCGAGGGGAAACCGAUACCUCCAGAUUACAAAAGUGAUUGUUACAACGACGUGGACGAAACGGAGUACGCCUGCAAAGAGAAAUACAGAAUCAUGAAGCGAUUCAGAAACGCGGAAGGGAAUGAGAAAGCUGCGGAUGACUUCGUCAAGAAAUAGAUGAGAAUCAGUGCUGCACGGCCGAAACUGCGUGUGCCAAUUUUGCAAUGCGCGAUUAAUGCUCAAGCUUGCAUCCCACAGUCUCAUAAUUGUAAAGCACUUUUUUUUUUUUUUCUGAAAGUUGAAGUAGACUGUCCACUGCUAUUCGCCUGAACGGUUGGAUGAAUCCUGAAAAUAGAAAAUUAUAUUAGUUCCACGAUCACUUAGUUAACAUUUGCAAGAUAAUUAAGGUGAAAAGCAUCAGUAGCAAACAGCUUUACACUGGUGACUACUGGUACGAUUACCAUAGUCUGUAAUAGUACAAAGCAUUUAAUUUAUAUUAUUAUCGUUACUUUACUGUACGUAAAAUUCUGGUAGGAUUGGACGUUAAAAGAUAUUCUCAGACUGUUCCUUUUGAUGUUGAAAUAUUAGAAUUAGAGGGACUAAACUGUACCGGUGCUCUGUACUUUCCGAGCUUGGUGGGUGUUCUGUAUUUUUGACAAUAACAUUAAUAAAACUAACAAUAACGGAGUUGGGCAAAUUGAUCAUUAAUCCGCCAUACGAUGCCUUCAAAAGCUGCUUCGAGAGAUCAGAAACUAGUUUUACGCGAUAUUACGUAAUUCCUGAUAUUUUUAUAACCGUUUUGCUCACUAACUUUGCAUUAUUCAUUACGUCGUGAACGGUUGAUUUCAUUCGAUACUUUUGUACACGUGAAUGCUAGCUUGUUUCACAAACUAAGAAUAAAAUUUCGCUGCAUUAAUACAAAUUGUUUCAUCAUUUACUUCAAAGAAAUUCAUUUGUUUUAAGUUGACCUUAGUUUACAAUGUUGAAGCUCUUUUAUGUCUCUAAAUAUAAAAAUAAAAUUCAAGAAAUUAUAAGAUCUAUAUAUUAUUACUCAAAGUAAAAUUCGGAACCUUGAAUCGUGAAGUGAAUCAGAAGACUGCAUCAGAGAUGUGUACACUGGGACGAGACUACAUCCGCCAGGAAGUGUAACACCUUACAAUGGAGCACGUCUGUCAAGGUUUCUUACUUUUGAUAGCGAUCUGUAUAAGAAUAAAAAUCAGAUUUAAAAUGUUAGGCGAUGAGAACAAUCUUCCAUACGUAUCUCUCUUAUUGACAAAUUGUCGACGAUUAUUUUAGAAUAUCAUUUUUACGUCGUAACAUCCCGAGAGAGUAUCUUAACGGAACAAGUUCGAAUAAUCAAGCUUUUGUUGCCAUUAAUCCAUCGAUAAAUUGAUGUCCUCAACUUUCGUAACAUUUCAAACUCUUCAAUCGAUUUUUGUCUUAUUGAUAAAUUUGUAUAAUAUGUUGGCAAUGUUAAUUGUAAAUAAUUCAAGUUCCUGUAACUUUCUCUCGCUUUAAAAGUCUGACUCGAUCUUAUUUAAAAGCAUGCUCGUUGUUAUUAAAGUAUUUAACGUUCCUAUUCACUGUAAAGUGUACAAAGGUUUCUUAGCAUAUUUUUGUAAUAUAUUUGUAACAUAACGCAUUGUAAAGAGAUAUAGUAAUAUAUGUGAAUAAAUAUGAUGUUUGAUUUUGUAUA